rnacentral:rRNA from 1 species
AUUGAACGCUGGCGGCAUGCCUAACACAUGCAAGUCGAACGGCAGCACAGCAGUAGCAAUACUGUGGGUGGCGAGUGGCGGACGGGUGAGGAAUACGUCGGAAUCUGCCCAGUCGUGGGGGAUAACUAGCCGAAAGGUUAGCUAAUACCGCAUACGACCGAGAGGUGAAAGCGGGGGACCGCAAGGCCUCGCGCGAUUGGAUGAGCCGACGUCGGAUUAGCUAGUUGGCGGGGUAAAGGCCCACCAAGGCGACGAUCCGUAGCUGGUCUGAGAGGAUGAUCAGCCACACUGGAACUGAGACACGGUCCAGACUCCUACGGGAGGCAGCAGUAGGGAAUAUUGGACAAUGGGCGCAAGCCUGAUCCAGCCAUGCCGCGUGAGUGAAGAAGGCCCUCGGGUUGUAAAGCUCUUUUGUCCGGAAAGAAAACCUUGGGUUAAUACCCUGAGGUUCUGACGGUACCGGAAGAAUAAGCACCGGCUAACUUCGUGCCAGCAGCCGCGGUAAUC